rnacentral:lncRNA from 1 species
GGAAACUCUUUUACUGCAAUAACAUAAGCUGUGUUAAAGAGGCACUUCAUGUGCUUAAACAUUAUUUUUGACAUACGAGAUGUACAUUUUGCCAUUGGAGUCUCCUUUGGCUUCCAAAUGGCUCUGUCAUGUUCCAUACAUUUUUUAUGCUCUGCUGAUAUGUCAUGUUUCUUUAUGCUUUCAAUCUUAAAAUUUCUAGUUCUCUCAAAAUAUGCACUCUGUCUGCAAUAUUCGGAUACUGGAGGCACAAAGAACAUUUCAUUGUUUUGAUCAGUGCCAUACAAAAGCCAAGAGUAACUUUUUUCCACUCACAGAAUGUUUUUGACGGACUGUUCUCUGUUUAACAUCAACAGUUCCCUUGCUUGACAUAAGCUGUUCACUG